rnacentral:snRNA from 1 species
GCCCACACACUAAAACUGGAACAAUACAGGGAAGAUCAGCAUGGUACCUGCACAAAGAUGACAUACAAGCCAAUCUGUGACAGCUAUUCUU